rnacentral:misc_RNA from 1 species
GAUGAAGAACGCAGCGAAAUGCGAUAAGUAAUGUGAAUCGCAGAAUUCAGUGAAUCAUCGAAUCUUUGAACGCACCUUGCGCCCUUUGGCUAUUCCGAAGGGCAUGCCUGUUUGAGUAUCGUGAACACCUCAACUCUCAUGGUUUGCCAUGAUGAGCUUGGACUUUGGGGGUUUUGCUGGCCUUUGGUCGGCUCCUCUCAAACGGAUCAGCUUUCCAGUGUUUGGUGGCGUCACGGGUGUGAUAACUAUCUACGCCUGUGGUUUUCUGCCAGAUAACCUUCAGCGAUGGAGGUUCGCUGGGGCUCAUAAAUGUCUCUCUUCAGUGGAGACAGCUUUUUGGACGUUUGAUCUCAAAUCAGGUAGGACUACCCGCUGAACUUAAGCAUAUCAAUAAGCGGAGGA